rnacentral:rRNA from 1 species
CACUCCUGCGGGAGGCAGCAGUGGGGAAUAUUGCACAAUGGGCGCAAGCCUGAUGCAGCCAUGCCGCGUGUAUGAAGAAGGCCUUCGGGUUGUAAAGUACUUUCAGCGGGGAGGAAGGCAAUACGGUUAAUAACCGUGUUGAUUGACGUUACCCGCAGAAGAAGCACCGGCUAACUCCGUGCCAGCAGCCGCGGUAAUACGGAGGGUGCAAGCGUUAAUCGGAAUUACUGGGCGUAAAGCGCACGCAGGCGGUCUGUCAAGUCGGAUGUGAAAUCCCCGGGCUCAACCUGGGAACUGCAUUCGAAACUGGCAGGCUUGAGUCUUGUAGAGGGGGGUAGAAUUCCAGGUGUAGCGGUGAAAUGCGUAGAGAUCUGGAGGAAUACCGGUGGCGAAGGCGGCCCCCUGGACAAAGACUGACGCUCAGGUGCGAAAGCGUGGGGAGCAAACAGGAUUAGAUACCCCUGUAGUCCC